rnacentral:rRNA from 1 species
UGCGGAGGGGACUAGCGUUGUUCGGAAUUACUGGGCGUAAAGCGCACGUAGGCGGAUUUGUAAGUCAGGGGUGAAAUCCCGGGGCUCAACCUCGGAACUGCCUUUGAUACUGCAAAUCUCGAGUCCGGAAGAGGUGAGUGGAAUUCCUAGUGUAGAGGUGAAAAUUCGUAGAUAUUAGGAAGAACACCAGUGGCGAAGGCGGCUCACUGGUCCGGUACUGACGCUGAGGUGCGAAAGCGUGGGGAGCAAACAGGG